GUAUGUUUUACGUCCUCUUCAUAAAAGCAUAGACAUACAUGCGGAUAGCUCAAAAUGAGUACAGAUAACAAGCCACUUGGCUUAAGAAAUUUGGCAUGUAAAUUUACGCAAAGUCA